UAUCUCUCCGUACGGGGAAGGAUGAGAAGCUUCGAAUAAGGUUCGAUUCGAGCGAAAGCGAGAAAGCGUUGCCGCAGGCAACGACCCGAAGGG
rnacentral:sRNA from 1 species